rnacentral:rRNA from 1 species
GACGAACGCUGGCGGCGUGCCUAAUACAUGCAAGUUGAGCGCUGAAGGUUGGUACUUGUACCAACUGGAUGAGCAGCGAACGGGUGAGUAACGCGUGGGGAAUCUGCCUUUGAGCGGGGGACAACAUUUGGAAACGAAUGCUAAUACCGCGUAAAAACUUUAAACACAAGUUUUAAGUUUGAAAGAUGCAAUUGCAUCACUCAAAGAUGAUCCCGCGUUGUAUUAGCUAGUUGGUGAGGUAAAGGCUCACCAAGGCGAUGAUACAUAGCCGACCUGAGAGGGUGAUCGGCCACAUUGGGACUGAGACACGGCCCAAACUCCUACGGGAGGCAGCAGUAGGGAAUCUUCGGCAAUGGACGAAAGUCCGACCGAGCAACGCCGCGUGAGUGAAGAAGGUUUUCGGAUCGUAAAACUCUGUUGGUAGAGAAGAACGUUGGUGAGAGUGGAAAGCUCAUCAAGUGACGGUAACUACCCAGAAAAGGACGGCUAACUACGUG